UCUUCGGGGAUGAUUAACCGGCGCACGGGUGAGUAACACGUGAGUGACCUGCCUUUUAGACUGGAACAACUUACCGAAAGGUGAGCUAAUGCCGGAUGAGUUAUAUAAGUGCAUGUUUAUAUAGGAAAAGUUGGGGAGACCUGACGCUGAAAGAUGGACUCGCGUCCCAUUAGCUAGUUGGUAGGAUAAUGGCCUACCAAGGCGACGAUGGGUAGCCGGCCUGAGAGGGUGGCCGGCCACACUGGGACUGAGACACGGCCCAGACUCCUACGGGAGGCAGCAGUGGGGAAUUUUGCGCAAUGCUCGUAAGAGUGACGCAGCGACGCCGCGUGAAUGACGAAGGCCUUCGGGUCGUANAGUUCUUUCGACAGGGAAGAAAAUGCCUAUAAGUANCUGUGUAUGUAUUGACGGUACCUGUAUAAGCAGCCCCGGCUAACUCCGUGCCAGCAG
rnacentral:rRNA from 1 species